CAAAAUAACAUAAGACACCAAUUGUUGAAGAAAAAAUAGAAAAAAGUAGCAUUUCUUUCUAUUCUUUAUAAAAUGAAUGUGUGUAAAAAUUAAUACAAUGUUCAACCUUGAAGGCAAGAUCAAGGAAGACUAAACAUGCUUGAGAAAAAGUUGUUAGUACUAGAGAAAGAAGUGAGGUUUGUAAUACAUAUAAUGCCUUAUAUAUAUAUUUC
rnacentral:lncRNA from 1 species